rnacentral:rRNA from 1 species
UACGUAGGGGGCAAACGUUAUCCGGAUUUACUGGGUGUAAAGGGGGCGCAGACGGCAGCGCAAGCCAGGAGUGAAAGCCCGGGGCCCAACCCCGGGACUGCUCUUGGAACUGCGCGGCUGGAGUGCAGGAGGGGCAGGCGGAAUUCCUGGUGUAGCGGUGAAAUGCGUAGAUAUCAGGAGGAACACCGGUGGCGAAGGCGGCCUGCUGGACUGCGACUGACGUUGAGGCCCGAAAGCGUGGGGAGCAAACAGG